rnacentral:rRNA from 1 species
AUUGAACGCUGGCGGCAUGCUUUACACAUGCAAGUCGAACGGUAACAGGCCGCAAGGUGCUGACGAGUGGCGAACGGGUGAGUAAUGCAUCGGAACGUGCCCAGUCGUGGGGGAUAACGCAGCGAAAGCUGCGCUAAUACCGCAUACGAUCUAUGGAUGAAAGCGGGGGACCGUAAGGCCUCGCGCGAUUGGAGCGGCCGAUGUCAGAUUAGGUAGUUGGUGGGGUAAAGGCUCACCAAGCCAACGAUCUGUAGCUGGUCUGAGAGGACGACCAGCCACACUGGGACUGAGACACGGCUCAGACUCCUACGGGAGGCAGCAGUGGGGAAUUUUGGACAAUGGGCGCAAGCCUGAUCCAGCAAUGCCGCGUGCAGGAAGAAGGCCUUCGGGUUGUAAACUGCUUUUGUACGGAACGAAACGGCCCUGGUUAAUACCUGGGGCUAAUGACGGUACCGUAAGAAUAAGCACCGGCUAACUACGUGCCAGCAGCCGCGGUAAAAC